GACGAACGCUGGCGGCGCGCUUAACACAUGCAAGUCGAGCGAGAACCAGGACUUCGGUCCUGGGGACAGCGGCGAACGGGUGAGUAACACGUGGAUAACCUGCCCUCGGCACCGGGAUAGCCCGGGGAAACCCGGAUUAAUACCGGAUGGCCCUUCCGGCUCACGAGCCGGUCGGAAAAGGUAGCUUCGGCCUCCGGCCGAGGAUGGGUCCGCGGCGGAUUAGCUUGUUGGUGGGGUAACGGCCUACCAAGGCUCCGAUCCGUAGCUGGUCUGAGAGGACGAUCAGCCACACUGGGACUGAGACACGGCCCAGACUCCUACGGGAGGCAGCAGUGGGGAAUCUUGCGCAAUGGGCGAAAGCCUGACGCAGCGACGCCGCGUGAGGGAGGAAGGCCUUCGGGUUGUAAACCUCUUUCAGGAGGGACGAAGCUACUCGGGUGAAUAGCCCAGAGGGUGACGGUACCUCCAGAAGAAGCCCCGGCUAACUACGUGCCAGCCGCCGCUGUAACAC
rnacentral:rRNA from 1 species